UGGAUGAAGCUGUGCAACAGGUUCACGAGAUUUAUUCACCCAAACGCUUCAUUCUGCUCAAGCCCAAAUACCUUCCAUGGAGACGACAGAGUAUCAGCGCAAAUAAAUAACUGCUUCCAUGAAUUUUUUAAUAUCACAGGGAGUGGCGGAUAGGCAAGCAAGAUGAAACAGUGAAAUUACGCCGGGCCCUGCCUUAUUUUCGGGCCGUGUGUGAAACGUAGCAAGACCUACCAAACGAAAGGUUAAGUCGGUAUAGCUUUGCUAAGCCGGUAUCCCAAUAUAUUAAUUGGGACAUUACAAAGGGAAUACUUAUUAUUUAUGAAAUGUGAUCAAUUUUAGAUAUACAAAAGAAUCUUGUCAAACUAAUUGACCACGAAAAUAAUAUGUUAAUGAAUAAUAAACAUUAUGAAUUAUUUAAUUUUUUUUUAA